UCUUAUCACCUAUGUCCAUAUAUUCGAUCUCUUUUCGCUUUUACCUUUUUGUCAAUAUCGCAUUGAAUUUUAAUUCCGUGUUUAGAAUUACAGCACAUCGUGACAACUCAACGUAUAACUGCCCGUGAGUGAAUAUAUCGUUUCUUUCUCUCUACAAGAAAUGUGUCUGACAAUAGCAUUCACACAAAUGAGACAUGACUGAACCGUAUGCGUGGUUAUGUGGGCAAGACUUUUCCAAAUCUCUUUGCAUAAACUCUUGUCUCGCUGGGCUUGAAAUUUUCUCUCACAGGAGUUCACUUUCACCAAACAACAAAUCUGUUGAUUCUCGCAGAUACGCCUCUUCAUUGGCGAAGAAACACUACUUUUUUUUUCCCUGAUGGCAACAUAAAUUAGAUGAUCUACAAGUCUCCAACUUAAAUUUUAAAUCCGAACAAUAUAUUCGAUCUCUUUUCGCUAUUCCAUUAUUUCACUGAGUAAUAAUUUCCGUUUGUUUGCACUAAUGCGAUCUUUACUAUUCUUUUUUUGAGACUUUUGAAUUUUCUACUUUCAUUAUCUCUAACCUGUUCUGCAUGUGUACCGCACCAACGUUUUUGAAUUCUUUACGACGUUCUACUUUGUCAUCUACUCUUUGUCUUUUAUUUCCAUUCCCGGGUGUGGUUAAAUCUCUUGGCACAAAGACUCGUCUCGCGGGAUGAGAAUGUCUCUCUCUGAGAAAAUCACAUAAGAAGCUGAUGCUUUGAAACUCUCUCCACUCUCACAAUUAAUAGCUGUUUUCCCUUCUGUGCUGUGGCUGGUCUUGUCAAAUUAAAUUCGGACCACAGUGUGCUGAUUUAUAUUUUAAGCUUAGUUCUGACUCUUUACGUUCAUUGCUUGCAGGUUUGCCAAGUCUCACAUGGUAAACCAAGGGCAAACCCAAAUCAAACCUAGCAGAUAUCCCGAGGAGAAUGGAGGGGGGCACAUAAAAGGGGAGGCCAAUGUGUGCAGCACUGAGCCCAGUAACCAGUCAAAGUACGUUGUUUAGAUUUAGGAGUGCUGCUUUGGGAAUGUCAGAAGUAUCCUUUGGUAGAAAAGAAUAAUUAUAUUGCGAAUUCUUAAGUAAAAUUAAA